UACGUAGGGGGCAAGCGUUGUCCGGAAUCAUUGGGCGUAAAGCGCGUGUAGGCGGCCCGGUAAGUCCGCUGUGAAAGUCCAGGGCUCAACCCUGGAAUGCCGGUGGAUACUGUCGGGCUCGAGUCCGGAAGAGGCGAGUGGAAUUCCUGGUGUAGCGGUGAAAUGCGUAGAGAUCGGGAAGAACAUCGGUGGCGAAGGCGCUCUACUGGACCACAACUGAUACUCAGGGACGAAAGCUAGGGGAGCGAAUGGG
rnacentral:rRNA from 1 species